UAAAACCCUAACUAGGACAAUGUCUUACCAAAAUAAGUGUAUGCACAUGUGUAUAUUCGCCUUUAACAUCUAAAAACAACCAGCAUGCGCUGGCACGGCUCUGUAAACGGUAACUGUCGAGGAAUCCACCUCCUUGUAGAGCCGUAAGGGCUGACUCCAGCAGGAAACCAUCAGCGUCCAAGCUCGUAGGAAACCAAAGGUCACCUGACAAACCUAGCAGCCACAAAAAGGUGACGAAAUCUCCAUGGGACUGUGAGAGCCCUGUUGGGAAAAGCAAAGCCAUCCGGGCAUAGCAAGAUACCAGGACCCUGUCAUCUAACAUUUGAAGUACAGACCACCAUGACUGGGAAGCCAUGAGGUAGCUGGUUACUCUGUGUCCACAAUCAAGAAGCAGAGAGGGACCAGUACUGCUGGCAUUCAGUGCUGAUGCUCAGUGCUGGUGCUCAGUGCUGGAGGAAGGUGUUACAUCUCCAGAGACUCUUUUUACCAAGUCCAUGUUUUAAAUAAAUGAAACUUGUACAGGCUCCAACACACCAUCUUGAGAUAACCUCGGGCCCUGAAGUAUACUGACAAAGCAGAGUGAACUCAGCCAAGUCAUGCAACUGCCUUGGAAAAGAAUAGGAGGAUGAAAACCAGCAACAGGAGAAGAGGCUAAGGAAAACCUGACUUCUUCAAGUGGGAGGAUCCAAGGCAGAAUGGUGAGAGCGCUUUCCCCCAGUUGAUGCAUGAUUGCGCUUCAAGCUCUCCAAAGAAGCUCAGCCCUGUAGCUGCUCACUGCAGAGCCUGCUCAUGCGCACACACCUGCUCACACCCACCCACCCACUCAUGCCCACACACACCUGUUCAUGUGUACACACCUCCUCAUGCCCACCCACCUGCUCACGCUCCCACACACCUGCUCAUGUGCCCACACACCUACUCAAUGACCACACACCUGCUCAUGCGCCCACACACCUGCUCAUGCCCACAUACACCUGUUCAUGCCCACAUACACCUGUUCAUGCCCAUACACACCUGCUCAUGCCCACACACGCCCAUCACCAUGUCUACACUGCCCACUGUUCUCUUCGCCUGGCUUUCUGUUUGGCUGCCUCCUACUUAGUGAAGCUCUUCUUGCUCAGGUCCGUGUGGGAACUUUCCUGACCCUUCUUCCUUUACCCUACAUCUUACUGUUGGUCUAGCACUGACACUGGAUCUGCCUUCUCUUCUCUCUCUCUCUGUCCAGACUGCCUCGGUAAGGCUUGACACUGACUCUUAUCUGAUGUGCAAUCCGUGUUUAAAGCCUGAAUCCCGUAGGCUGGUAACAGAUUUCCAAAAGAACCUGCCUAGAGUUAAAUGCACAAUUAUGGCUGCCCUGGUAACUGCGGUAAAGCCUUAUCUUCUCCAAGUUUUCCCAUGCUAAAAGGUAGCAACAUUUAAUAAUAAAUAACAUUUAAUAAUGCCCCAAAUCCCAGAACUCUCCUUGACUAGUCCUUCAUGUAACUUUGUAUCUAGUGGAUAGGCAGUUUGUACAAAAGAUACAUCAAGUCCUUCCUCCUCCCCAUCACUGCCUCCUCACCCUCCUCACCCUCCUCACCCUCCUCACCCCAGGCACUGGCCAUGACAGCACCUCUCCCAGCUGCCUUGACUGCUGCCUUUCUGUGUGCUGUUUCCUCCGUGGCCAGAAUCAUCUUUUAGAUAUGGACAGCAAACCACAUCACUGCCCAGCUUGUAACUCUUGAAGCAGGGGUGAAUCUAGGGCGAUGGCUUACUGAGUAAGAACAGCUGCUGGGCAGGCAUGAGUUCAGAUCCUUGAACACUCCUAAAAUGUCACGUACAGCCCAGCACUAUGGGGGAUGGAGACAGGAGAACCUGUGGGACUUGUUGGCCAGCCAUCCUAGUUGAAAAUUGUCAACUCCAGGUUCAGGGAGAGACCCUGUUUCAAGAGAAUACAGAGGGGACUGAUAGAGAGAGGGCAACUGUCAUUCUCCAACAGCCUUGCAAACACAUAAGCACUUGCAUACAACCUCCUCCCUCCCUCCGUCCCUCCCUCCCUCCCUCCCUCCCUCCUUCCCCUCUGGUGUGUGUGUGUCUGUCUGUCUGUCUGUCUGUCUCCCUCUCUCUGAGGUCAUACUACAUGCUGGAUAAAAUCCAGAACUACCACCAUGGUUUUCAGAGCAAUGUUAGCCAUCACACCCACUACCGACAGGGACACCCCUGUGGGAGUGAGGCAGGCCUGGGGCUGCAUCCAUUUCCUCCUUAGUAUUCCCUGCCCUGCCGCAGUGAUCCCUAGUCCUAAAGAGCGAGAGAAGUCACAGAUCUAAAUACAAAAGUAUGGUCUCCCUCAAAUAGGAUUCUUUCUCCUCUGAUCUAAAUGGACAGUUGUUCAGUUUUUCCCACUGUUUCUUGAAGCCAGUCUUAUAUCAAUGUGGAUUAUGUCUUCAACAUAGAGAAUGGAUAUUUGUCAUAACAUUUUUCAAAUCUCUCUCUCUCUCUCUCUCUCUCUCUCUCUCUCUCUCUCAUGCAUGUGAAUGUGUGUGUGUGUGUGUGUGUGUACAUACAGCUGUAAAAAUCUUUGGGUAAACCAGGUUUAAAGUUUCAAAGAUGUUAAGCACAGUGCUAAACCAGAACUGGCACUUUUAAAUUCUACUCUGAAUUUUCAACAUCAACUUAAAAAAAAAAUUAAAUGAGAUCUAGACAAACCCAUAUCUGUGGGGAGCCGCCCUCACAUU